CCUACGGGAGGCAGCAGUAGGGAAUCUUCCACAAUGGGCGAAAGCCUGAUGCAGCAACGCCGCGUGUGUGAAGAAGGUCUUCGGAUCGUAAAACCCUGUUGUUAGAGAAGAAAGUACGUAAGAGUAACUGUUCACGUUUCGACGGUAUCUAACCAGGAAGCCACGGCUAACUACGUGCCAGCAGCCGCGGUAAUACGUAGGUGGCAAGCGUUAUCCGGAUUUAUUGGGCGUAAAGAGCACGCAGGCGGUCUGUUAAGUCAGAUGUGAAAGCCCUCGGCUUAACCGGAGUAGUGCAUUGGAAACUGGGAGACUUGAGUGCAGAAGAGGAGAGUAGAACUCCAGGUGUAGCGGUGAAAUGCGUAGAGAUAUGGAAGAAUACCAGUGGCGAAAGCGGCUCUCUGGUCGGUAACUGACGCUGAGGUUCGAAAGCGUGGGGAGCAAACAGGAUUAGAUACCCCUGUAGUC
rnacentral:rRNA from 1 species